UACAGAGGAGCCAAGCGUUGUCCGGAUUGACUGGGCGUAAAGCGCACGCAGGCGGACGCGCGCGUGGGGUGUGAAAUCUGGCCGCUUAACGGCCAGGCGCCAUCCCAUACGGCGCGUCUGGAGUGAUGCAGAGGUCGGUGGAAUUGCCGGUGUAGUGGUGAAAUGCGUAGAGAUCGGCAGGAACACCCAGGGGGAAACCAGCCGACUGGGCAUCUACUGACGCUGAGGUGCGAAAGCGUGGGGAGCAAACAGG
rnacentral:rRNA from 1 species